ACACAAAAAGUGACGCUUCGUCAAUGUUCUUCUUCAUUGUUCAGACAAGUAUUUAAAUUUGAAUCAAUAAUUCUUUACGUAUGUACACCUGAUAUAAGACAUUUUACUUCCCUGUGGGAAUUCCUUUCUGUUGAAAUGUACAUGAAUAUGGCCUCAUCGGUAAAACACGUUGGUCGCGAUGAUAAAAUCUCCAUGCACAGAAUGUGAGAUAGUUUUUUUUAAGGAGACUGAAAAAUCUCACAGAAAAUCAAGACUGUGCACGAACCAUAAUCCAAUAUGACCGGAAGAACAGAUCAAGCGCAACAGUUGAUUCAAAAUAUACCUGGAAUUGAACAAAUUAAGCCAUCCUUGUUGAGACGACUGACAAUGCCAGACGACAUGAAAACUUUAAAUAUACAGGCCUGUCUGGCAUUACCUGAUGGUAGAUUUAUAUUAUCUGAUUUCAACGACAAACAACUACUGCUGUUCGGUAAUGACGGCAUAUUUAUCAGAGAAGUAGUCACAUUUACAAAUUAUCCAGGUGAUGUUUGCUUUAUUAGAAAUAAUACAGUGGCUGUCACAUUAGGUGCAGCAUACAAGACAGUAUUGGUGGAUAUAGAAAAGAAUGAAAUUAUUCAAACAAUUGAACUUUCUCAUUAUUGUAAAGGAGUAGCAAGUGAUGGUCAAAAAUUGAUCAUAUGCAGUGUCAGGGAAUCUUCAAUAGUGAAUCUGGAUGAUAUGUCUCAAUCUUAUUUAGAAGUGGUCGGAGAUUGUAUUUCAUUAUACAAAGGAAAUGUCUAUAUCACCUUUGAAAACAAUGUAGAGUGUUACGAAAUCAAUGGCGAUCCUCUUUGGACAUUUCUGCCACAUGACUUAAGCAACGUUAACAGCAUACAAGGACUUACAUUAGACAAGAAUGGCUUUGUUUAUAUCGCCUCUAGAAAAAAUAACAGGAUCGUGGUAGUAUCAUCAGAUGGUCAAACCAGUAAGACAAUACUGUCCGAGUCUGAUGGAAUCAAAAGUCCUUGGGGAAUAAACAUCAACAGAGAAACAGGAAUCAUGAUAGUGUCGAGUAAAAUCUGCGAUGAUAGUAGUGAUACAUUGUAUGAUACAGCUUUCGUUUAUAAAAUCUGAAAAGAGCGAUGCGUUUUAUUUAUUAAUAAAUCUCUUUCUGUG